rnacentral:rRNA from 1 species
CGGUUGAUCCUGCCGGAGGUUACUGCUAUCGGAGUUCGAUUAAGCCAUGCGAGUCUAAAGGUUUCUUCGGAAGCCUUGGCGGACUGCUCAGUAACACGUGGAUAACCUACCCUUGGGACUGGAAUAACCCCGGGAAACUGGGGAUAAUACCGGAUAGAUCAGGGAUGCUGGAAUGCACCUUGAUCCAAAGCUCCGGCGCCCAAGGAUGGGUCUGCGGCCUAUCAGGUUGUAGUGGGUGUAACGUACCUACUAGCCGACGACGGGUACGGGUUGUGAGAGCAAGAGCCCGGAGAUGGAUUCUGAGACACGAAUCCAGGCCCUACGGGGUGCAGCAGGCGCGAAACCUUUACAAUGUGCGAAAGCAUGAUAAGGGAACUCCGAGUGCCAGUAUCUAAUACUGGCUGUCCUUGUGCCUAAACCGCACAAGAUAGCAAGGGCCGGGUAAGACCGGUGCCAGCCGCCGCGGUAACACCGGCGGCCCGAGUGGUAGCCGCUAUUAUUGGGUCUAAAGGGUCCGUAGCCGGUUCGAUAAGUCCUCUGGGAAAUCUGGUUGCUUAACAAUCAGACUGCCAAGGGAUACUGUUGAACUUGAGACCGGGAGAGGUAAGAGGUACUUCANGGGUAGGAGUGAAAUCUUGUAAUCCCUGGGGGACCAUCUGUGGCGAANGCGUCUUACCAGAACGGGUCUGACGGUGAGGGACGAAAGCUGGGGGCGCAAACCGGAUUAGAUACCCGGGUAGUCCCAGCCGUAAACGAUGCUCGCUAUGUGUCNNGUACNGNGUGACCGUAUCUGGUGCCGUNGGGAAGCCGUGAAGCGAGCCACCUGGGAAGUACGGUCGCAAGACUGAAACUUNAAGGAAUUGGNGGGGAGCA